ACGGGAUCUGGAGAAUCCUAACUUUUAUUCAUUUGGUUAAAAUAUUUAAAAAUGACUUUAUUCUAAAUUUUUCUUUCAAAACUGAGACACCCACCAUAAUUACAAUUGCCUUCGACUCUUAAUGGAAUUCGCCAAUAUUUUUCAUUAAACCACUAUCAAUAUUAUCACCAUUUUAAUUCUUUGUUAUUGUUUACAAUAUGCUGUGCAUGGAGAAGAUUUCACGGCAAUUGAAUUGGUCAACCGGUUUAUUAAAGCGGACGCCAGUGGCGCCGCGUGUCGAAUUAUUACGAUUUGGCCCGUAAUUGUACUUUCCACUAGGCACUCUAUGGUUUGCUUAUUAGUGACCUAUGUAUGGGUUUUGGUUGGGCCCAUAGCGGCUAAACCCAUAAAGUAACGAGUGAAGUUCCUCAAUCUCCGGUCUUGCGCCCAGACGUCUUUUGGACUACUACUUAAGCAGUUCCGCGACGCAUCUGGGGGUCUUUCCAGCUCCUGCGUCCGUCAAGAGUGAACCGUGCUGCCCGCUGUGACGGAGAGAGGUUUGAAAUAAAUCUAUUAUCAUCUCUCUCCGCCAGCACCUUUUUUGUUAAAAUAACAUCUAAAACUAAAAUGCAUUAGUGUUUCUUCAGUUUCAACGAAAUAUUUUUGAAGCAGGAUGGGUUUUAGUAGUUUGAUGCCUCUCGAAACUUCGGCUCCUUAAAUAUGACAGUGUAAACCGCCAGCCGUGACCCAGCAGUAAUGAGGAUUUCGCCCUGAAGCCUGAAAAAUAAUUUCGCCGCCCUUAGCCCCGUCAACACACAUCAUGCCGUAAGCCCUAUGUGGUGAAAAAUUGCCCAUCGCGGGCUCUCGCCCCCGAAAGAAGAACACCAUGGAACUUGACCCGUAAGCACAUUCUUUUAAUCUUAACCAUAUUCUUCUUUUGAUUUUUUUUGUAUGAUUUAACAUGAAUUUAUUAUCACUUUCUCAUUUUAAUAUUUAAAACUUAAGUAACUAUAUUUAUGGUAUAAUUAUCUAAAUUAAAACAAUUCAAUGUUACGCCUUAUUAUGUAAUGCUUCCGAAGUGAUCACUGACGAAUUCAGGUAUCUACCUUUGGGUUAUAAACUUGUAUAUAUAUAUAUAUCUUUUAUUUAUUUUUGUUUACCUUUUUAAGACCAUCUUGUAUAUUUACUUAUAUUUACUUACCAUGUAGAUUUAACUCCUUGUUUCUGAUAAAUUAAGCUAUUGAGUAUGACUUUAAUAAACACCCUAUUUAAAUUAAA